rnacentral:rRNA from 1 species
GACGAACGCUGGCGGCGUGCCUAAUACAUGCAAGUAGAACGCUGAAGAGAGGAGCUUCCACUUCUUGGAUGAGUUGCGAACGGGUGAGUAACGCGUAGGUAACCUGCCUUGUAGCGGGGGAUAACUAUUGGAAACGAUAGCUAAUACCGCAUAACAAUGGAUGACACAUGUCAUUUAUUUGAAAGGGGCAAUUGCUCCACUACAAGAUGGACCUGCGUUGUAUUAGCUAGUAGGUGAGGUAAUGGCUCACCUAGGCGACGAUACAUAGCCGACCUGAGAGGGUGAUCGGCCACACUGGGACUGAGACACGGCCCAGACUCCUACGGGAGGCAGCAGUAGGGAAUCUUCGGCAAUGGGGGCAACCCUGACCGAGCAACGCCGCGUGAGUGAAGAAGGUUUUCGGAUCGUAAAGCUCUGUUGUAAGUCAAGAGCGGGUGUGAGAGUGGAAAGUUCACACUGUGACGGUAGCUUACCAGAAAGGGACGGCUAACUACGUG